rnacentral:rRNA from 1 species
AGUGAACGCUGGCGGUAGGCCUAACACAUGCAAGUCGAACGGCAGCACAGUAAGAGCUUGCUCUUACGGGUGGCGAGUGGCGGACGGGUGAGGAAUACAUCGGAAUCUACUUUUUCGUGGGGGAUAACGUAGGGAAACUUACGCUAAUACCGCAUACGACCUACGGGUGAAAGCAGGGGAUCUUCGGACCUUGCGCGAUUGAAUGAGCCGAUGUCGGAUUAGCUAGUUGGCGGGGUAAAGGCCCACCAAGGCGACGAUCCGUAGCUGGUCUGAGAGGAUGAACAGCCACACGGGAACAGAGACACGGUCCAGACUCCUGCGGGAGGCAGCAGUGGGGAAUAUUGGACAAUGGGGGCAAGCCUGAUCCAGCCAUACCGCGUGGGUGAAGAAGGCCUUCGGGUUGUAAAGCCCUUUUGUUGGGAAAGAAAAGCAGCAGGUUAAUACCCCGCUGUUCUGACGGUACCCAAAGAAUAAGCACCGGCUAACUUCGUG